GAUGAACGCUGACAGAAUGCUUAACACAUGCAAGUCUACUUGAACUUCGGUUUGGGUGGCGGACGGGUGAGUAACGCGUAAAGAACUUGCCUCACAGUUAGGGACAACAUUUGGAAACGAAUGCUAAUACCUGAUAUUAUGAUUUUAGGGCAUCCUAGGAUUAUGAAAGCUAUAUGUGCUGUGAGAGAGCUUUGCGUCCCAUUAGCUAGUUGGAGAGGUAACGGCUCACCAAGGCGAUGAUGGGUAGCCGGCCUGAGAGGGUGAACGGCCACAAGGGGACGGAGACACGGCCCUUACUCCUACGGGAGGCAGCAGUGGGGAAUAUUGGACAAUGGACCAAAAGUCUGAUCCAGCAAUUCUGUGUGCAAGAUGACGUUUUUCGGAAUGUAAAGUGCUUUCAGUUGGGAAGAAAAAAAUGACGGUACCAACAGAAGAAGUGACGGCUAAAUACGUG
rnacentral:rRNA from 1 species